CUUCCUAUCUCCCUCCCCCCGAGUCCCCAUCGUCUCCAUGGCCGCCACUCACCAGAUCUUCGCUUCUGACCUCCUACAGCUCGCCGCUCGCACUCCCGCUCCCCUCCUCUCAGCUCGCAAUUGCCAGAUCCACCGCUUCCCAACCCAACCAUCCCUCUCGCAACCCAUUUCUCUCUCUCAUGCGACCCCUCGCACAUCGACCAACGCACGCCGAUUCUGGCGACAUCGGCCACCGCGCAGCACACUCACAACCUGGUCUCCGACCCCUCUGUCCUCCAGGCCGGCUGGAUCUGCCGCUCCUAGUAUCGAUGCUCGCCCGCGACACCUGGCCCAUGGCUAGGGUUUCGGCUGCGGCGUCACGUCAGCGACGGCGCGUCUCCGGUGGCUCCUCUCAGUCGCACGCAGCGCCCCCUCGUGCCCUCUCCGCCACCUGGAUGGUGCCCCUAGCUUGGUGUGCUCGCGUGCUUUGGGCUGGACGACGGCGACCCCGACCUUCUCUGCCGCGUCUCCCACGCGGCCGUGCAUCCUGCUGCGACCACCUCUGUCGUGCGACGGCGUAGGGCGACCUGCAAUGCGACUGCUGUGAUGCCUACAGACCUCUUCGCGGGCUACUUGGUGCUGCUCAUCACAAUCAGCCAUGACAUGAUAGUUGCCAUCAAGAGCGUCGACCACAAGAGCCUAAAUAACAGCUUCAAUAUUUCAUAUGUUUCGUCGAUGUAAAAUGGAUUGUACUCGAUCCUAACCCUGUUGUGUAAUAUAUUUGUCAAUCUAUGCUGCAAGUCUUCCAUUCAUAGAGGAUUUUGUAAACUGCUAUGCUGUAGAUACAUACAAAUGAUUGCAUACUGGAUAAACUGUUUGACACUUUGCAAAUACUUUUUGUUGGGCCAA